CUGGGGGCUCGGCCGGCGGGGCGGUGGCGGCCGGGACCACGUGACCCCGCCGGGGGCUGCCCUGCGGAGCGCCGGCCGCUGAGUGCCGCUUGGGUCACCUGGGCACUGCAGCCCCAGCGUCCCGCCAGGCCUCCGCUUGCCUUCGGGGACCGCUCCCCCUGUCCUGACACCUCCUGUCCUCCAGGCGCACCGUUUGCCCACCGGGGUGGCCCCUCGCGGCAGGGUGUUCGUCCCAAGACAGCGCCUGGACCUGCGUGGAUCACCUGAGACAGUGCGGCCGUGCCUGAGACUCAGGCGUUUGUCCAGAGGAAGCCAGAACCCUCCGCGUCUGCCCCCCUCACCUGUUGGCGAAGGCGGCCACCCACCGGUUCGCCUCCUGAUGGAAGCCGUGACCUGGGGACUACACCUAGGGCCUGGCAAUAGCCAUCCUUUAACCCUGAAGGCCCUGCUGCAAGCCGCCCCGUCCAGGGCCUGGGUCGGAUCCAGAUCACGUGAUCGCUGGGGCUGCUCUGCCCAGGACACCUAGGCUGUCUGUCCCACACUGCGGCUGGGGCGCUGAGAUCUCAGAGAUCCCCCCACAGCCGGAGGGAAGACCCUGCUGAGGUAAGAAACGCCUCUUCUCCCUUUCCGCGCCCCUUUCCGACCCUGGGGGCCCUGGACUCCCUGCUGCGUCCUGGGACCUGGCUGGGGGUGGGCAGCUCGGCCUGACUGCCCUUGGGCCUGGCGCCCCCUUCUCCAAACUCAGUUUUUCUGUGUGUUAUAAACCCUUGGGAGCUGUCUCUUUAGAACCACCACGGGGGCCCUGCUGGUGCCGUCCGUCUCACCCACGCCUCGCUCUAACCUGUCCCGCCUGUUCCUGCACCCACCUGUUUCGUGCCAGUUUGGGGCUGGACCCCCAUCCUCAUUGUUCUAAGAACUCUCUGACAGGAGGAAUGAUGCCAGUUCCCACACCCUCCCUCCAGCCCAACUCCUGCCCCUUCCCUGUCCCCACUGUGGCCUGCAGUCCCGCCCCGGUGCCUCCUGGCCAGAG
rnacentral:lncRNA from 9 species